CGCCUCUUGAAUAAAAAUAAGAGGUCCAGCCUGCCCAGUGACUAAUAUUCAACGGCCGCGGUAUCCUAACCGUGCGAAGGUAGCGUAAUCACUUGUUCUUUAAAUGGGGACUAGUAUGAAUGGCAUCACGAGGGUUAUACUGUCUCCUUUUUCUAAUCAGUGAAUCUAAUCUCCCCGUGAAGAAACGGGGAUACACCUACAAGACGAGAAGACCCUAUGGAGCUUUAAAUACCUCUUCAAACGUUGGACCUCCUCCCCAGUUUUAAACUCACCUAUAUUAACCCCGUACGCUAUGAAGACGACUUUAGGUUGGGGUGACCGCGGAGUACAACAUAACCUCCACGCUGAAUUCAGACUCUUUAAGCCUGAACCAAGAGCCACUGCUCAAAGCACUAAGAAAUUAACAUUUAUUGACCCAAAACAUUUGAUCAACGAACCAAGUUACCCUAGGGAUAACAGCGCAAUCCAUUUCAAGAGUCCAUAUCGACAAAUGGGUUUACGACCUCGAUGUUGGAUCAGGGUAUCCCAGUGGUGCAGCCGCUACUAAUGGUUCGUUUGUUCAACGAUUAAAACCC
rnacentral:rRNA from 1 species